ACAUACUGGGCAGCACUGGUCAGGAAGCCUAAUAGAAUCAAUGCACGGGGGAGGUUCGCAAUCAGCCACACUACAGUAAGCCCUUCCGUUGGUUUCGCAUUUACAUAAACGGCAAGGAGAAGUCUGUAUGUCGAACCGUCAACAAUGAAAGCGAUCUUCGUUGAGGAACCUCUCGUUCAAUGACCCGAAACUUUGCAAAUAACUGGCUGGUUGAUUGCCGCCUGUCAAGGUGACGAGCCUGCAAACUUCUUAUCUAGCUUGACCUAAAACUGUCUUUUUACAACGCACUUCAACUUGUACUAACAAGAACUGCCUGCUGAAUUGUCCCACGUGGUCUCACUAGGAACUUGUGAAACGGAAUCGCUCUGUGCGCAAAUUUUCGCUAUUUUCGUUCGAUGAUUUGGUCUCAAACAUGAUUUUCCGGACCACUGCACAUGAACAGUGCCCAGCGCUGAAUAACCGAUGCUAAGACCAGACAAGGCAGUGACUGACAAGCCAGUACGACCCAUUACCGCAGUGUUGGCUUUAUGCUGCAAGGUAUCGGCGCCAUGAACCUAAACAAAAGAACUGCAAAAACGAUUUAUUUUUGGGAUAUUUUUGCGCCUUGAAUGUGAGUUUAAAUAAUUUAUUCAUUACAAUUAAUCAUUUAGGUCUAAAAUAUUUAAAGAAAUUGUAAAAUUCCUUUGAUAUUAAUAUAAAAUUAGAUUAAAAUUACAUAUUUUAUUAAAUUUGACAUUAAUACCUUUAUCACUUAAUAAUACACCUCUUUCUAAGCCUACUUCAAGCAAAACGUAAACAUAAAACACGGAUGCGGCAUUUAAGUAACUAAACACCACGAAAACACAAACUUCGGUCUAGGUUCGCCAAGCUUUAAUAAAGUACUCGAGUGAAAUCGCGGUUUUCCACGCCAGACAGAACAGCUUUAUGAGCUCUACUUUACACCGCGGCCCAGUCGUCACCAAAUUUGGUUUCAAACUUCUACUUAGAUUUAAC